rnacentral:rRNA from 1 species
AUUGAACGCUGGCGGCAGGCCUAACACAUGCAAGUCGAGCGGAUGAAGGGAGCUUGCUCCUGGAUUCAGCGGCGGACGGGUGAGUAAUGCCUAGGAAUCUGCCUGGUAGUGGGGGAUAACGUCCGGAAACGGGCGCUAAUACCGCAUACGUCCUGAGGGAGAAAGUGGGGGAUGUUCGGACCUCACGCUAUCAGAUGAGCGUAGGUCGGAUUAGCUAGUUGGUGGGGUAAAGGCCUACCAAGGCGACGAUCCGUAACUGGUCUGAGAGGAUGAUCAGUCACACUGGAACUGAGACACGGUCCAGACUCCUACGGGAGGCAGCAGUGGGGAAUAUUGGACAAUGGGCGAAAGCCUGAUCCAGCCAUGCCGCGUGUGUGAAGAAGGUCUUCGGAUUGUAAAGCACUUUAAGUUGGGAGGAAGGGCAGUAAGUUAAUACCUUGCUGUUUUGACGUUACCAACAGAAUAAGCACCGGCUAACUUCGUG